ACCCCACCAAAAUUCAAACUUGAUCUUUAUUUUGUGGUAAUAAGCAUUGUGUAUAAGUUUCAUAAUAUUUGGUUGAAGCAAACUUAAGUUAGAGAGCGGAAACUAAAAAAUUUUGCAAUUUUUCCAUUUAUAAAGGGGCAUAACUCUAGAACAGAUUAAGUGACGCCACCAAAAUUCAAACUUGAUCUGCAUUUUGUGGUAAUAAGCAUUGUGUAUAAGUUCCAUAAUAUUUGGUUGAGACAAACUUGUUAAAGAAAGAAAACUAAAAAUUUUGCAAUUUUUCCAUUUAUAAAGGGACAUAACUCUAGAACGGUUAAAGUGACGGCACUAAAAUUCAAACUUGAUCUGUGUUUUGUAGUAAUAAGCAUUGUGUAUACGUUUCAUAGUAUUUGGUUGGAGCAAACUCAAGUUAGAGAACGGAAACCAAUUUUGGAACGUAUGGACGUACGUACAGACAGACAGACAAGGGUAAAACUUAAUGCCCCCUCCGCUACGGCGGGGGCAUAAAAACUGACAGUAUAAACAUGAUAAAGGGAAAUGUUCUGGAUUUUAACAUUGCUCAACCAAAAAAUGUCUAUAAAUGUAAUAGGGUUAGCAUAAAAAAUAAGGCAGGAUUCAUAGCAUCAACAUAUAAGGUAGGUAGGGAGGAAGGAAUCAUAGCAUCAAACUAUUGGGUAGGUAGGGAGGCAGGAUUCAUAGUAUCAAAAUAUAAGGUAGGUUGGGAGUCAGGAAUUAUAGUAUCAAAAAAAAGGGUAGGUAGGGAGCCAGGAAUCAUAGCAUCAAAAUAUAAGGUAGGUAGGGAGGCAGGAAUCAUAGCAUCAAAAUAUAAGGUAGGUAGGGAGGUAGGAAUCAUAACAUCAAAAUCUAAGGUAGGUAAGGAGGCAGGAAUCAGUACUUAAUAAUUUUGGGCCUAAUAUAAAUAUUACUCUUACCUGACAUUAGAAGAAGGAAAUCAAGAGGCAAUAGUUGUAAGCCAUACAAAUGUUGCAUUAUUAUCUAUAUACAUGCAUUUGUAAUGUACAAAAAAACUGCUUGCAGGAUAAAAAGACCUUUCUUCUGAUUAAAGGAACAGGAUAGAGGUUUUUGUAUAGUAAUAUGUACAUUAUAUAUUGACGUAAUAUCAAUGUCAAACAUCUGCUACACCUUGAUCACUUACAUGCAGUACAAAACUAGGACAAACAAAAUAGAUUUAUUAAAAUACUGACAGCAAAUCUUCCUAAUAAAUGUAAUUUAUCAAAUGAGACUUUCACAGUGUGGCUAA